AGUUCGGAUUGUAGUCUGCAACCCGACUACAUGAAGCUGGAAUCGCUAGUAAUCGCGGAUCAGAAUGCCGCGGUGAAUACGUUCCCGGGUCUUGUACACACCGCCCGUCACACCAUGGGAGCCGGGAAUGCCCGAAGUCGGUGACCUAACCGAAAGGAAGGAGCCGCCGAAGGCAGGUCUGGUAACUGGGGUGAAGUCGUAACAAGGUAUC
rnacentral:rRNA from 1 species